GACAGAGGUGCCGAGCGUUAGGCGGAAUCACUGGGCUUAAAGCGUGUGUAGGCGGACCGUUAAGUACCUUGUGAAAUCCCCCCGGCUCAACCGGGGAACGGCUGGGUAUACUGGCGGUCUUGAGCCAUCCAGGGGCAGUCGGAACAGACGGUGGAGCGGUGAAAUGCGUAGAUAUCGUCUGGAACGCCGAAGGUGAAAACAGAACUGCUGGGGAUGGCGCUGACGCUGAGAC
rnacentral:rRNA from 1 species